rnacentral:pre_miRNA from 1 species
CUACCUAUUUAACUGAUACAUCAAUAAGUCAUGAUGCCAUGUUGAUUUGGUGGCU